rnacentral:rRNA from 1 species
AGAGUUUGAUCCUGGCUCAGAUUGAACGCUGGCGGCAUGCCUUACACAUGCAAGUCGAACGGCAGCACGGGAGCUUGCUCCUGGUGGCGAGUGGCGAACGGGUGAGUAAUGCAUCGGAACGUGCCCUGAAGUGGGGGAUAACGCAGCGAAAGUUGCGCUAAUACCGCAUAUUCUGUGAGCAGGAAAGCAGGGGAUCGCAAGACCUUGCGCUUUAGGAGCGGCCGAUGUCGGAUUAGCUAGUUGGUGGGGUAAAGGCUCACCAAGGCGACGAUCCGUAGCGGGUCUGAGAGGAUGAUCCGCCACACUGGGACUGAGACACGGCCCAGACUCCUACGGGCGGCAGCAGUGGGGAAUUUUGGACAAUGGGCGAAAGCCUGAUCCAGCCAUGCCGCGUGAGUGAAGAAGGCCUUCGGGUUGUAAAGCUCUUUCGGCGGGGAAGAAAUCGCAUUCUCUAAUACAGGAUGUGGAUGACGGUACCCGAAUAAGAAGCACCGGCUAACUACGUGCCAGCAGCCGCGGUAAUACGUAGGGUGCGAGCGUUAAUCGGAAUUACUGGGCGUAAAGCGUGCGCAGGCGGUUUCGUAAGACAGACGUGAAAUCCCCGGGCUCAACCUGGGAACUGCGUUUGUGACUGCGAGGCUAGAGUUUGGCAGAGGGGGGUGGAAUUCCACGUGUAGCAGUGAAAUGCGUAGAGAUGUGGAGGAACACCGAUGGCGAAGGCAGCCCCCUGGGCCAAUACUGACGCUCAUGCACGAAAGCGUGGGGAGCAAACGGGAUUAGAUACCCUGGUAGUCCACGCCCUAAACGAUGUCAACUAGGUGUUGGGAGGGUUAAACCUCUUAGUGCCGUAGCUAACGCGUGAAGUUGACCGCCUGGGGAGUACGGCCGCAAGGCUAAAACUCAAAGGAAUUGACGGGGACCCGCACAAGCGGUGGAUGAUGUGGAUUAAUUCGAUGCAACGCGAAAAACCUUACCUACCCUUGACAUGUCAGGAAUCCCGGAGAGAUUUGGGAGUGCCCGAAAGGGAGCCUGAACACAGGUGCUGCAUGGCUGUCGUCAGCUCGUGUCGUGAGAUGUUGGGUUAAGUCCCGCAACGAGCGCAACCCUUGUCGUUAGUUGCUACGAAAGGGCACUCUAAUGAGACUGCCGGUGACAAACCGGAGGAAGGUGGGGAUGACGUCAGGUCAUCAUGGCCCUUAUGGGUAGGGCUACACACGUCAUACAAUGGCCGGGACAGAGGGCUGCCAACCCGCGAGGGGGAGCUAAUCCCAGAAACCCGGUCGUAGUCCGGAUCGUAGUCUGCAACUCGACUGCGUGAAGUCGGAAUCGCUAGUAAUCGCGGAUCAGCUUGCCGCGGUGAAUACGUUCCCGGGUCUUGUACACACCGCCCGUCACACCAUGGGAGCGGGUUCUGCCAGAAGUAGUUAGCCUAACCGCAAGGAGGGCGAUUACCACGGCAGGGUUCGUGACUGGGGUGAAGUCGUAACAAGGUAACC